rnacentral:rRNA from 1 species
AGUGAAUAGAUACCCAGGUAGUCCACGCCCUAAACGAUGUCGACUGGUUGUUGGGGUUUGACACUCUCAGUAAACGAAAGCUAAACGCGUGAAGUCGACCGCCUGGGGAUACGGCCGCAAGGUUAAAACCUCAAAGGAAUUGACGGGGACCCCGCACAAGCGGUGGAUUAUGUGGAUUAAUUCGAUGCAACGCGAAAACCUUACCUACCCUUGACAUGUCCUGAAUCCUGGAGAGAUCCGGGGGGUUGCCCGGAAACGGGUAACCGGGUAACCACAGGUGCUGCAUGGCUGUCGUCAGCUCGUGUCGUGAGAUGUUGGGUUAA